UGAAACUUCUAGAGACCCCAGAGUAAUCU
rnacentral:piRNA from 1 species